AACGAACGCUGGCGGCAUGCCUAACACAUGCAAGUCGAACGAGACCUUCGGGUCUAGUUGCGCACGGGUGCGUAACGCGUGGGAACCUUCCCUUAGGUUCGGAAUAACUCCCCGAAAGGGGUGCUAAUACCGGAUAAUGUCUUCGGACCAAAGAUUUAUCGCCUUUGGAUGGGCCCGCGUUGGAUUAGCUAGUUGGUAGGGUAAAAGCCUACCAAGGCGACGAUCCAUAGCUGGUCUGAGAGGAUGAUCAGCCACACUGGGACUGAGACACGGCCCAGACUCCUACGGGAGGCAGCAGUGGGGAAUAUUGGACAAUGGGCGAAAGCCUGAUCCAGCAAUGCCGCGUGAGUGAUGAAGGCCUUAGGGUUGUAAAGCUCUUUUACACGGGAUGAUAAUGACAGUACCGGGAGAAUAAGCUCCGGCUAACUCCGUG
rnacentral:rRNA from 1 species